UUGUACCUGUGCUCGCGAGUGCUGUCUGCCAUUUGUGCAGUUUGGAUGUAAACAAAACAAUGGAUUAUUUACCAAGAGAUAUGGAUGUGUGGACUCAUUUCGAUAAAACACUUCUGGUAACCAUCGUUGAUAAUUUCUUUUUAUUAUUUUACUCAAAAAAAGCUCAAAUGAACUCGCAAAACUUCACCUCACGUGAGACUGCAGCGAACGUGGCUUUGUGCGAAACCUAAGUUAAAAAAUAAGUAAACGAAAUAUUUUUCAUUUUUGAUCGAAUUAUUGUGUGGGUCUAGAGUUUUUACUCUGCAGAAAACGAGCAACCCAACCCACCAACAGACGAGGAAGAUGAGGUAUGAUAAUAGUGGUCCAGCAUAUACAAAGAGAAAGUAACCAAUAGAAGCUGAAGGAAUGGCAGAUGUUACUCAGACAAUUGUGAACACCGAGCAGUGUUUGAAGUCCAAGACAGAGAAAUCAUCUUUAUCAUAUUUCUGACUGAACUAGCAAGGAGCAUUAGGGGCAAUGAGAAAAACUCAAAAGAACAUACUUUGAAGAAUGCUGGUAAUCAAACCCAACAAGUUUGUCAGGUGCAGAAAUAAAAACUUUCAAACAAAGAUGUCACCUGAUUAAGAAGUGGAAAGACAUGUUACACCACAACAACCAUAAAUCCUCAGCGAUUUGAAAAUUGGCAACAACUAAGGAAAAGUACUCAUUGUUUCACUCAAAAAUGAUCCAUGGUAAUAGUUGUAAAUGAUCAGAUUAAUAAAUAAAAGUACAAAAUGUUUUUAAUUUUAAAACUUUGCCAUUUACUAAUGUGUAAAACACUAAGUUUUGGUGUCUCUUUACAAUAAAGUUUCAUUAGUUAACGUUAGUAAAUGUUGAAAUUAACAUUAAAUAACAAUGAGCAAUAAUUUGUUACAAUUUGCAUUAAUCUUUGAUAUGGUUAAAAAACAACUUUGUUAGUUCAUGUUAGAUCUGGUCCAUAAAAUAAUGUCAACAGGCACAACUUUUGUUCUUAACAAUGUAUUAGUGAAUGUUGAAAUUAACUAGGUUAAUAUAUUAACUACAUUUAACUAAGGUUAAUGUUUAGUAUUUGUCAUGUUAGUUCAUGAUAGGUAGGUAACUAAUGUUACAAAUGAAACCUUAUUGUAAAUUGUAAAGUGUCACCUGAGUGUUUAUUGUUUAUACAUGGUAAAUUAUUUAUACGCAAGUAUAAAUAAAUGCAAGGGUAAUUUCGCUAAAUGUUGUGUUUUUUAUAUACAUAUAUACUUUAUGUAUAACUUUUUUCAUUUUUUUUACUGCAAUUGCAUGAGUUCUUUACUUUUAAAAUGCAUUUAUCAUAAUGAGAUGAGUUGGGGUUAGCGGUAAGUAAACAUUUUGGCAGCAUAUUCAUUUUAAAUGAAAGAUUAGUGAACAGUAAAGAAGAUAUUAAAAAUGAAUCCGGGCCACAUCCGGGGCACUGUACACUUCAGUGUUGGGCUGAUUCCGGCUCGGAUGCAGCAGUGUCGGUUUUUAAGAUGAUAGGACGGAAUGUUUCUAUAACAUUCACAUAAACCAAGAAAAAACUGUCCUAACAUUCAAAAAAUUCAAAUUUCAAACAUUUAACGAACAUUCACUAAUAGCAUUUUCAUAACGUUUUCAAGAUGAUAGAAUGAAAUGUUUCUAUAAUGUUCACAUAAACCGAGAAAAUUUUUUUCCUAAUACAUUCAAAAAAUGCAAAUUUUAAACAUUUAAAGAACAGUAAUGAAGUUUUCGUAAUGUUUUCAAAAUGGUAGGAUGGAAUGUUCCUGUAACGUUCGCAGAAACCCAACGAAAAAUGUUCUUAAUACAUAAAAAAAACCUUGCCAUUUUCAACGUGUACAAAACAUUCCGGAAUAACGUUUUCAUAACUUAAAGGAAAUGUUAGUAAAAUGUUCUGACAACUCAUUUUUAUUAGCUGGAUAGUCAUGUAAGGUCAAUGUGUGGCAAGUCUUGAUUUCCCUUAUAUUUUUCAUUAACAGUCUUCCAGAGACAUUUGAACUAUUUUAAACUCACUAUUUUAGUAGACUAUUUGCCUGAAAGUGACCCGGAAUAUGUUUUCUUUUUGUGUUCAGGUCUCAGAAAGCAGACAGUGAUCUCCCAUCGUUUGUAAACAGGAUCCUAAUUAAAUAUGAUUAAUACAUUACCAUAUUAAUGCAAUCUGCGUAUUAAAACUCUUUAGCUUUGGUAGGGAGGGAAAACAAGGUAAAUACCGUGAGCGAGAGAAUGAUGCAUGUGGUUCUAUUUUGCAUGUAGAUUUCAGACCACUCUACCUCUUAUGAACUUGUGGACAUAAGAGAAAGAUACGCUGGUAUUCUAAACACAUAAUCAGUAUUUUUCAAUGAGGUUGGGUGUGUAUUUGAAGUAGAGAUUUGUAUUAAUUACUGCACAUGAAUUUGCUCUAAAAGCAUCUCCGCAACAUUACCACUUUCUUGCUUAAUAUGCCACCGAUAAAUUCUGUUUUUCCUCUUCAAUAUGCUGUCGGUUUCAUCGAUUUUUCAUUUAGGAGAUCAACCCAGUACCUUCGUUGCACCCCUUUGUUAACCCAGUUACACGUCUUCAAAGCUCUCAUGAAAUGCCGAAUUUAAUCGAUAAAUCAUAAUGCACCAGCCACCAUUUCAACUUCAGCUUUAUAAAAUCCAUAUUUUACCCUUAUUUUGCUCACUUUCUUUCCUAUUUUUCCUUGUCUCUGGAGCAGAUUGAAAGUGCUGCGCUGAUUUGACACUAGGGGAAGGAGGGGCCUUGCAUAAUUUACCGGGGUCCUAUGCAGCUUGCGUAGUGAGUGUAUAGGGUAGAUUGGCUCUGGUUCCAUUGGAUUAGUGGAGUAAUAGUAAAUAAUAAUAUAGUAGGUAAUUGUAAAUGUGUAAAGUUGCAUAAGUUUGUUACUUAGUGUCAUAUCCAUAUAAAUCAUUAUUAUGGUUUCUAUGGCUAGGACCUGCAGUUCCUAUAAGGAUUUAAGUUUACUACUAGACUAGAAACAGUUAAAAAAAAAAAAAGUUAGCAGGUGCAUAAGACAGCGCUACAUCCCACUUCAUAACAAACAAUAUUUUUACACUUUUGUGAAUAGUUACCUGUCAGGGUCUUUGGAAAAACAAAGAGAGCCAAGAUUUGUACUGUCACACUGAUAGUUUUUGCAGUGGAUUGCCCAACAUUGCGUUCUUUUAUUACACUUUGACUUCUCUUUCGUUGUUAUUCUGUCUAUUUCUGUGUAUCUGUGGUGUUGUCCAGUUGGAAUUUUCACCCUAAAAUGGCAGCCGUGCUACUGAAUCGCCACCUAGUGGCUGUUACUCAAAAAGCAUCAGAGUUUUGCCUAUUGGUAUUUCAGACCUGCCAACCUGUACGCAUGUUGUAGAGCA